rnacentral:lncRNA from 1 species
AAUGAAAGAGUUUUCAGCUGUGUUCCCCAAUGCUGCUUCAUUCAUGACCUUGAGUCGUUCUGCGGCGCCGUGGUACUUCAUUCUACAAACCCCACAAAUUCACCUGUUCUAAUGUGCUGGAGACCCCAUUUCCAUGGUAUGGUAAUCGUUAACUUUGAUGGUUCGCUCAGUGAAAGUGAUGCUGGAGUUGGCUUCAAGGAUCAUCCACGGCAGGUUCUCUAUGCUGGUUUAAGAGGACGAAUCUAAAUCUGUACCAAUGGUUGCAUUGCGGGUGGGAUGGGAAGGACUUAUCACUACUGCGAACAAACUGCAUCUUCUUCUCAUUUGGAUUGAAGGUGACUCCAAUUCAAUGGAUAAACAAUGCCACUACCUCUAUGACAGACCAGCAUACUCUGCUUCAGGAUAUCAUGGAGAUUAAAGCACUUUCUCCCUCCUUGCUUCCACAUUUAUUAGGAGGCUAAUAAGGCAGCUGAUUGGUUAGCUACCAGAAGAUCAAAGCGAGACUUUCUUCCUCAUGCAAACAUUCUCCAUAUUACUUGAUGAAGUCACAUCCCACUAAAGUAGUAAAAGAAGUGGUGAACAUAAACUCAAACAAGUGAGAAGUGAGAUAAGGAUAGGAAUAUGGGUAGUUGAAAUCAACAAGGAUAAUAAUUCAAGUCCUUGUCAAACUCAACAAGAAUUGCUUAUAUAUAUACCCAUUGCCUUCUAUUUUUGUAUGAAAAAAAUCCAAGGGAUAAUUCUAACUCUUUGUGGAUUCUUUUUUUCUUGUAUUGUUAGGGUUUGGGUUGUACAACCUUGUUCUCAUUGUAGAGAGAGAGAAGGGUGAG